GAUGAAGAACGUAGCGAAAUGCGAUAAGUAAUGCGAAUUGCAGAAUUCAGUGAGUCAUCGAAUCUUUGAACGCACAUUGCGCCCUGUGGUAUUCCGCAGGGCAUGCCUGUUCGAGCGUCAUUUCAACCCUCAAGCCCCGCUUGGUGUUGGGCCCCGCCCGCUGUGGCCGGCCCUAAGACAGUGGCGGCGCCGCCUGGCCCUCAGCGUAGUACAUCUCUCGCUCCAGGGUCCGGUGGCCGCCUGCCAGAACCCCCCAACUCUGUGGUUGACCUCGGAUCAGGUAGGGAUACCCGCUGAACUUAAGCAUAUCAAUAAGCGGAGGA
rnacentral:misc_RNA from 1 species